rnacentral:rRNA from 1 species
GGAUUAGAUACCCGGGUAGUCCACGCCAUAAACGAUGACAACUAGACGUCGGAAGGAACUGCCUUUCGGUGUCGCAGCUAACGCGUUAAGUUGUCCGCCUGGGGAGUACGGCCGCAAGGUUGAAACUCAAAGAAAUUGACGGGGACCCGCACAAGCGGUGGAGCAUGUGGUUUAAUUCGAUGCAACGCGAAGAACCUUACCUGGUCUUGACAUGUCUGGAAGACCGCAGAGAUGUGGUUGUGCCCGAAAGGGAACCAGAACACAGGUGCUGCAUGGCUGUCGUCAGCUCGUGUCGUGAGAUGUUGGG